rnacentral:rRNA from 1 species
GCCUCUGGGGCGCAGCCUGAUGCAGCACGCCGCGUGAGCGAUGAAGGCCUUCGGGUCGUAAAGCUCUGUCCUCAAGGAAGAUAAUGACGGUACUUGAGGAGGAAGCCCCGGCUAACUACGUGCCAGCAGCCGCGGUAAUACUACGUGCCAGCAGCCGCGGUAAUUUUAU